rnacentral:rRNA from 1 species
UAGGGAAUCUUCCACAAUGGACGCAAGUCUGAUGGAGCAACACCGCGUGAGUGAAGAAGGGUUUCGGCUCGUAAAGCUCUGUUGUAAGAGAAGAACGUGUGUGAGAGUGGAAAGUUCACACAGUGACGGUAACUUACCAGAAAGGGACGGCUAACUACGUGCCAG